rnacentral:rRNA from 1 species
GCUGGCGGCAUGCCUAACACAUGCAAGUCGAACGAGAAAGUUCCUUCGGGAGCGAUUAAAGUGGCGCACGGGUGAGUAACGCGUAGACAAUCUGCCCUUCAGUCUGGGACAACUUUUCGAAAGGAGAGCUAAUACCGGAUGACAAUGUAACACAUAAGUGUCACAUUUGAAAGCUCCGGCGCUGAAGGAGGGGUCUGCGUCCCAUUAGCUAGUUGGUAAGGUAAAGGCUUACCAAGGCGACGAUGGGUAGCGGGUUUGAGAGGACGAUCCGCCACACUGGAACUGAGACACGGUCCAGACUCCUACGGGAGGCAGCAGUGGGGAAUAUUGCACAAUGGAGGCAACUCUGAUGCAGCAAUGUCGCGUGAGUGAAGAAGGCCCUUGGGUCGUAAAGCUCUUUUAUGGGGGAAGAUGAUGACGGUACCCCAAGAAUAAGCACCGGCUAACUACGUGCCAGCAGCCGCGGUAAUACGUAGGGUGCGAGCGUUGUUCGGAAUUACUGGGCGUAAAGGGCGCGCAGGCGGAAUAGCAAGUCGGAGGUGAAAGCCCGGGGCUCAACCCCGGAGGGUCUUUCGAAACUGCUAAUCUAGAGAGGGUCAGGGGCCAGCAGAAUUCUUGGUGUAGAGGUGAAAUUCGUAGAUAUCAAGAGGAAUACCGGUGGCGAAAGCGGCUGGCUGGGGCCACUCUGACGCUGAGGCGCGAAAGCGUGGGGAGCAAACAGGAUUAGAUACCCUGGUAGUCCACGCCGUAAACGAUGAGCACUGGAUGUCCGGAGGGUUCGACCCUUCUGGGUGUCUCAGCUAACGCAUUAAGUGCUCCGCCUGGGGAGUACGGU